rnacentral:rRNA from 1 species
AGGAUAACGCUGGCGGCGUGCCUAAUACAUGCAAGUCGAGCGAAUGGAUUAAGAGCUUGCUCUUAUGAAGUUAGCGGCGGACGGGUGAGUAACACGUGGGUAACCUGCCCAUAAGACUGGGAUAACUCCGGGAAACCGGGGCUAAUACCGGAUAACAUUUUGAACCGCAUGGUUCGAAAUUGAAAGGCGGCUUCGGCUGUCACUUAUGGAUGGACCCGCGUCGCAUUAGCUAGUUGGUGAGGUAACGGCUCACCAAGGCAACGAUGCGUAGCCGACCUGAGAGGGUGAUCGGCCACACUGGGACUGAGACACGGCCCAGACUCCUACGGGAGGCAGCAGUAGGGAAUCUUCCGCAAUGGACGAAAGUCUGACGGAGCAACGCCGCGUGAGUGAUGAAGGCUUUCGGGUCGUAAAACUCUGUUGUUAGGGAAGAACAAGUGCUAGUUGAAUAAGCUGGCACCUUGACGGUACCUAACCAGAAAGCCACGGCUAACUACGUGCCAGCAGCCGCGGUAAUACGUAGGUGGCAAGCGUUAUCCGGAAUUAUUGGGCGUAAAGCGCGCGCAGGUGGUUUCUUAAGUCUGAUGUGAAAGCCCACGGCUCAACCGUGGAGGGUCAUUGGAAACUGGGAGACUUGAGUGCAGAAGAGGAAAGUGGAAUUCCAUGUGUAGCGGUGAAAUGCGUAGAGAUAUGGAGGAACACCAGUGGCGAAGGCGACUUUCUGGUCUGUAACUGACACUGAGGCGCGAAAAGAGCGCC